CAAUAGCGUAUAUUAAAGUUGUUGCAGUUAAAAAGCUCGUAGUUGGAUUUCUGGUCGGAAGCUCCUGUCCUCUGAUGAGCGUACAAGUGCGUCCUACCAUCCUUCUGUUAACCUUUAAGGCUUUCGCGGCUUUCUAGGGGCUCAGAUAUUUUACCUUGAGAAAAUUAGAGUGUUUCAGGCAGGCUAGCGCCGGAAUACAUUAGCAUGGAAUAAUGGAAUAGGACUUUUGUCUCUUCUGUUGGUCAUGAGGCUCGAGUAAUGAUUAAUAGGGAUAGUUGGGGGCAUUAGUACUUAACUGUCAGAGGUGAAAUCCUCGGAUUUGUUAAAGACUAACUUAUGCGAAAGCAUUUGCCAAGGAUGUUUUCAUUA
rnacentral:rRNA from 1 species